GCGUAAUCACUUGUCCUCCAAAUAGGGACCCGUAUGAAUGGCUAACUGAGGGCAUAACUGUCUCCUGAUGCCCGCUAAUGAAAUUGAUCUACUGGUACAAAAGCCAGUAUACACCCACAAGACGAGAAGACCCUGUGGAGCUUACAAACUCCCCCGCUACUAACCAUAACACCACCUCACGAGACCACGUGCAUCCUAGACUAGCGGCCGUUUUAAGUUGGGGCGACUACGGAGCAUAACAAAACCUCCAAGAAAUUAAGGCUAAACACCUUCCCCUAGGCACACACGCCAAAACAACUAAUAGACCCAGUACAACUGAACACCGAACCAAGUUACCCCAGGGAUAACAGCACCAUCCCCCUCAAGAGUCCCUAUCGCCAGGGGGGUUUAUGACCUCGAUGUUGGAUCAGGACACCCCGGCAGUGCAGCCGCCGCCAAAGGCCCGUUUGUUCAACGGCUAACGUCCUACGUGAUCUG
rnacentral:rRNA from 1 species